rnacentral:tRNA from 1 species
UAACCGGUAGUUCAGCCUGGAAGAACGCCUGACUUGCACUCAGGAAGUCUUGGGUCCAAAGGCGAAUGUAAAUCCGCCGAACAUAUCCCAACCGGUCCACCA